rnacentral:ncRNA from 2 species
CAAUGCAAAUUGCGAACGGGUCAUAUGCUUGACAUAUGCCAACUGACAAGCCGGUGUGAAUCCGGCGCAGUCUUACCUCUACUGUAUUUGGCUCCGGCCAUAAGCCAGGAUUGUCAGCCUGUUCCGUGGUAAUUGA